GCCUAAGGCCAUACUACCCUGAACGCGCCUGAUCUCAUCUGAUCCCAGAAGUUAAGCAGGGUAGGCCCUGGUUAGUAUUUGGAUGGAAGGAGAAAUCGUGUCAGAGAUU
ensembl:rRNA 5S_rRNA 5S ribosomal RNA